CAUAUCCAGCUCACUUGGUGAGAUAUGCUCAAGCCAGGAUGAUGUCAUCUUCCUAUAUCCUGAUGUUCCAAGGCUCCUACCUCAGAAAAGUGUGACAUGAGAGCCUUUACUGAGUAUGCACAUGUUUACCCACCUGUUGUCUCUGGUCAUUUGGCACGAGGCACCCACAGAAUUUUGCUUCUUUGCCAUUGACACCAGACACCAAGCUGAAGGCCAACCCUUCAAGUUGACUAUCCUGGAGUCCCCGGAUCAUAUUAGGGAGACAUUCCUGUUCUGGCAGGUGCAGGAUCACCACCUUAAAAUGGAAUGUGAGAAACCAGCAAGUGAAAACACAGAAAUGUGGAGGGACAAUGUGAUGUAUUAUGAAAUGUCAUAUGGAUUAAACACUGAAAUGCACAAACAGACUGAAAUGAACAAGAAAUUCAAUGUGACUUGUGCACAAGUCAUCCCAUUUCUGUCUCAGGAACAUCAACAACAGGUGUUCCAGGCCUUCAAGCCUGCCACACCAGUGACCCUGGCAGAGUUGAAUGUCAUCCUUGUGCUACGGCAGUUGCAAGCUCAGUGUUUACGGCAGUGCCACAGACAACCAGUACCCCUAAUGUCUUGCCCUUAGGGACUUCAGCCUGCAGGAAUUCUGCCCAUCUGGGGCAGCGCCCACCUGCUGGCACUGUCUAGUUCUCUGACUGGGCAGUCUCACUUGGCAAUAAAAGAUGGCAAGAAGCACCACUAUGCAGAGCACCUCAGAGACAGUGUGUCAAGUACAAGUAAUUCCCUCUUGGUCCCAGACAGUCCAAAAUGCACAGAUAAAUGCAGAAAUGUGCCUAAGAUCUCCAACUACAUGGAGGAAAGGAAGGUGGAUGAUAAGGACUCUACCCUUCCCCAGGGAUUGUGACAACUUAGGUGUGGAUGUGUCUAUUCAGGACCUUUCAAAAAACAAUCACUGCCCAUGCACCUUUGGAAAAUGAAACUAACAAAAAAUUGCAUGCCAAAGAAAGAUGAUUCCAGCAGCCCAGCCUCCAUGGCCACCUUGAGAAGUUCCACUUCCUUGAAAUCCAAAGACAUGAGCUUGCAUGAAAAAGCCAGCAGGCCUGUUCUGGAAUGCAGCACACCAACCCCUCAAAGUGACGUGCCCAUGCUGGGCAUAUUGCUACUCCAGGACUCUAUCCAGGCCUCAACAAGCCUCCAGCCAUGGACCACCUCAUUAAGCAAGUGGCAGAAGGACAUUCCUUACACCAGGCGUGGACCAGCCGACGCCACGAAACCGUUCCCUUGGUUCUUGGACCCCCAGCCCACCGACUUCCACUCCAUCACGCACGCGGGCCUCAGGCCCAGGCCUCACGAUGAACACACUCCUCGCCAGAGCUCGAGAGAGACACACCAGGGCACUCACAUGAUCGUGUCUUUCGCAGCAAUGAGACUACUGAAAAUGUGUAGGAAGAACUAGCACCAGUCAUCGCUCCUGCCAUACAAGGCUACAGUGGUUUGUGUCCCCUCAGUGUUGCAGAAACAUUUUAGUCUUGGGUGUCUGUGCAGCAGGUAUUGAUAGUUUUACUCACUGCAGAUUUGCUUUUAAUCUUUGUAUGUGUGUUUUGUUUGUUCAGGGACUAUAUGACCUCAGGCUUCUCUACUAGUAUAUAUUAAUAUAA